rnacentral:tRNA from 1 species
GGUGGCUCAGUGGCAGAGCACUUGCCUCAUAUACAUGAGGUCCUGGGUUCGAUUCCUCAGCACCA